rnacentral:rRNA from 1 species
UACGGAGGGGACUAGCGUUGUUCGGAAUUACUGGGCGUAAAGCGCGCGUAGGCGGCUUUGCAAGUCGGGGGUGAAAGCCCGAGGCUCAACCUCGGAACUGCCCUCGAUACUGCAAAUCUCGAGUCCGAGAGAGGUGAGUGGAAUUCCUAGUGUAGAGGUGAAAUUCGUAGAUAUUAGGAAGAACACCAGUGGCGAAGGCGGCUCACUGGCUCGGUACUGACGCUGAGGCGCGAAAGCGUGGGGAGCAAACAGG